rnacentral:lncRNA from 1 species
AGUGGGCGGUGCGCAGGCGCAGCUGCUGCGGCUCCUGAAAUCCUCCGGUGUGAACUUCUCCCAGGGCUGUUGAUGCUUCAUCUACUCUUCUGGCAGUGGGGGCCUGGACCUUAGUUACCCGGGAAGCGUGAGUCAUGUUGCACAGUUGAGCUGGCACAUAAAACUACGAGUUUAUAGAACAAGGAAUUGAAGCUUGGAGAAGAUUGAUGGACCACUCAAGUUCCCUGGAUGGUCCAGGAUGCAGACUGAGGAUGGCCUAAAACAUUAGUUUUGCUGGCUCCCUGUGCUUGGCUAACUUUAGAGCCUCUUACCUUGCCACAGUCUUUUCUAUGAAGGACAGAGAGCCAAGGAGUGGACCAACAUGCCUGAGUUUACACAGUGGACCUGAGGACCGUCACCUCCCAGUGCAAUGUUCCUGUGUACUGCCACUGAAGAGACAGGUGGGAGGGAGCUCAAGGUUGACUUGCCUAACAACCAUUGCUUGAAAGACAAAGCUCCCAAGGAGAGCACAAAAUACCUCACUCGAGACUCCUCUGCAUCACCAACCAGUGUGAAGAAAGCCUGCAGCUGUCAGCAGAGUAUUCUUUGUCUCGGUGACACGCUGUGCCUACAGUUGGACUAGAAACUUUGGAUUAGGGUGUGAGUCGUGCCCCAUAGGACAGAGGUGGUGCAUGUAGCCUCAUUUUGGAGUUUAUUUAGAGAGGAGAAAGAAUGUACCAUAGUCCCCAAAGGCUCUAGGUUACAGUGAAUUCUCUUUAGUUCAGUUAUAGUUUAGUUUAGCUUGGUUUGGUUAGCUGUGGUUCCGUUCUGUUCCGUUCUGUUCUGUUCGGUUCAGUUCGGUUCAGUUGCAGAGUUGUUGCUCUUUCAUGCUUUGCAUCCCAACUCCCUGCUCUCUCUUGGCUUUGGUUCCCAUCAGGUCCAGAAUAAAUGGCAAGGAGAGGGUCAUAGAACAAGUUAAACGAUGCUUUUUAUUGGCAGGAUUGGGACUAAAGAGAUCAGGAGUAAGACUGGGAAUAAGUAUGCCAACUUAGGGUGUGGGGUAAAAUAAAUAGUAACCGGUGAGGGUCUCCAACCCAAUGAGGUACCAUUUGCCUCAGUGUCUGGACCUGUUCAUCUUCUUUGCUUUGUGAUCCAGGAUAUGUGGCUUGCCACUAACUGAAAGAGGACUUCCAGGGGCUCUAACUGGGUACCAAAUACUCCAUCUUGCACAUGAGAGGUCCUUGGUCUUAGAGGUAUUCGAGCUGGUCUCUAAUGAGUCAUCUGAAGGGAGAAAACAAUUCAGAUGGGGCUGGUUCCUAGUGAGGGACUCCCCAGAGUUUAUAUCACCAAUGCGAUUAGAACUUCAAGACACACCUGAACGGAUGGAGCUGAGUCCCCAGAGGAAUAGCCCAUGCCUAGUGUCCCCAGCUCUCCCUUUCUCACCCCAGGAGAAUUAAAUUCCUCUGAAUAGGAGUCAGGAUCCCAGAGCUUCCUCACCCCCAGCAUCCUUCUGACAGCGUCCAGCCGGGCCUGGAUCCGUGGAGCCUCCUGUGGACACAGCAUCUGCAGCUCCCCAGGUCUCAUGUGAAGUAGCUGGCUUCCCAUUAGGGACCCGAGGGUCCUUACAGUGCUGUAAAUAACAAUGGUAGAAUCCACCAGAAGUAGGGUGGGCAGAUUCUAGGUCUUAGUAUUUGUGUAGAGAAGGAAAGUUGGGGUUACAGGAAUUAGGUAUCUGCAGGUACAGGGAUACACCUAGUGGUUUGGUCUCAGUGAACCACAGAACUCCGAGAUUUGAGGGCAGAAACACUUUAAAAAAGACUGGUCUGGAAGGGAAGGGUGGCUAAGGUGGGCAGCCCAAGUUCUUCCAGAAUUUGCUACCCUUGACUCUUUCUCUUUCACUACAUAUGGCCUCUGCACUGGGUGACCUACCCUAGGCUCAGACAAGCAGCUUUCAUUCAGCAGAGAAAGCCUAAGAUGGAGUCAUCAAGUACAGUGGAAGCUAGGUCACACUCUCUAACUCUGAGAGUGAAUGGAGCCUGUGGUUCUCCCAUUUACAGGGCUCACCGCCCCUCAUCCCCCAGGGGACUGGUCACUCACACAGUGGAGAAGUUCUCUGCUUGUAGCCAGGCUGUGACCUCCUCAGGCUUUGAGCUCAGGCGAAGCAUUGGGGCCUGGAAUCAAGGAGCACUAGAAGUCAGAGGUCAUCCCAUCUUACAAACAUACACAGCCUCCUGUAUUGGGUCCCUUCUACUGAGAUCCCAUCAGGAUGCUUAUCUCACCUUCUGGUUUCCUAGUUCGGCAGGGACGCUCACCUAAUCUUUGUUCAGACCCUAUAAUGAACUUGGCACCGAGGAAGCAUGCAAUGAUAUUGAUUAAACUGAACUAAGAUUGUCUCUGUUUGUCACCUAA